UUUUAUGGAGAGUUUGAUCCUGGCUCAGGAUGAACGCUGGCGGCGUGCCUAAUACAUGCAAGUCGAGCGAACGGACGAGAAGCUUGCUUCUCUGAUGUUAGCGGCGGACGGGUGAGUAACACGUGGAUAACCUACCUAUAAGACUGGGAUAACUUCGGGAAACCGGAGCUAAUACCGGAUAAUAUUUUGAACCGCAUGGUUCAAAAGUGAAAGACGGUCUUGCUGUCACUUAUAGAUGGAUCCGCGCUGCAUUAGCUAGUUGGUAAGGUAACGGCUUACCAAGGCAACGAUGCAUAGCCGACCUGAGAGGGUGAUCGGCCACACUGGAACUGAGACACGGUCCAGACUCCUACGGGAGGCAGCAGUAGGGAAUCUUCCGCAAUGGGCGAAAGCCUGACGGAGCAACGCCGCGUGAGUGAUGAAGGUCUUCGGAUCGUAAAACUCUGUUAUUAGGGAAGAACAUAUGUGUAAGUAACUGUGCACAUCUUGACGGUACCUAAUCAGAAAGCCACGGCUAACUACGUGCCAGCAGCCGCGGUAAUACGUAGGUGGCAAGCGUUAUCCGGAAUUAUUGGGCGUAAAGCGCGCGUAGGCGGUUUUUUAAGUCUGAUGUGAAAGCCCACGGCUCAACCGUGGAGGGUCAUUGGAAACUGGAAAACUUGAGUGCAGAAGAGGAAAGUGGAAUUCCAUGUGUAGCGGUGAAAUGCGCAGAGAUAUGGAGGAACACCAGUGGCGAAGGCGACUUUCUGGUCUGUAACUGACGCUGAUGUGCGAAAGCGUGGGGAUCAAACAGGAUUAGAUACCCUGGUAGUCCACGCCGUAAACGAUGAGUGCUAAGUGUUAGGGGGUUUCCGCCCCUUAGUGCUGCAGCUAACGCAUUAAGCACUCCGCCUGGGGAGUACGACCGCAAGGUUGAAACUCAAAGGAAUUGACGGGGACCCGCACAAGCGGUGGAGCAUGUGGUUUAAUUCGAAGCAACGCGAAGAACCUUACCAAAUCUUGACAUCCUUUGACAACUCUAGAGAUAGAGCCUUCCCCUUCGGGGGACAAAGUGACAGGUGGUGCAUGGUUGUCGUCAGCUCGUGUCGUGAGAUGUUGGGUUAAGUCCCGCAACGAGCGCAACCCUUAAGCUUAGUUGCCAUCAUUAAGUUGGGCACUCUAAGUUGACUGCCGGUGACAAACCGGAGGAAGGUGGGGAUGACGUCAAAUCAUCAUGCCCCUUAUGAUUUGGGCUACACACGUGCUACAAUGGACAAUACAAAGGGCAGCGAAACCGCGAGGUCAAGCAAAUCCCAUAAAGUUGUUCUCAGUUCGGAUUGUAGUCUGCAACUCGACUACAUGAAGCUGGAAUCGCUAGUAAUCGUAGAUCAGCAUGCUACGGUGAAUACGUUCCCGGGUCUUGUACACACCGCCCGUCACACCACGAGAGUUUGUAACACCCGAAGCCGGUGGAGUAACCUUUUAGGAGCUAGCCGUCGAAGGUGGGACAAAUGAUUGGGGUGAAGUCGUAACAAGGUAGCCGUAUCGGAAGG
rnacentral:rRNA from 1 species